UACGUAGGGGGCUAGCGUUGUCCGGAAUCAUUGGGCGUAAAGAGCGUGUAGGCGGUCCGGUAAGUCCGCUGUGAAAGUCGGGGGCUCAACCCUCGAAUGCCGGUGGAUACUGUCGGGCUUGAGUUCGGUAGGGGAGACUGGAAUUCCUGGUGUAGCGGUGAAAUGCGCAGAUAUCAGGAGGAACACCGGUGGCGAAGGCGGGUCUCUGGGCCGAUACUGACGCUGAGGAGCGAAAGCGUGGGGAGCGAACAGG
rnacentral:rRNA from 1 species